GAAUGAGCAUCCUUCAUUUCAUAGGUUAGUUCUAAUAGGAAAUCCUUGUCAGUUUUUGUCCUCCAUAUGUCUAACAUUAUGUCUUUAGUUAAAAUUUAUAGAAUAAACCUAAGGAAGACUGGAUAUUUUCAACUUGGUUAAAAUGUAUGCAUGCUUGACAGUUUUCAAUUUUAAUUUCUUGUUCCAAUGCUGUUAAAGGCACCAAAAGUCCAUCAAGCCUAGGUGUAAGCCACAAAGUGCCUAUGCACUCCUAAGUGAUGUUAAAG
rnacentral:misc_RNA from 1 species